rnacentral:ncRNA from 2 species
AUGUUCUCAACGGGGUGCCUCUUUCCAUCAUGUCAGAGCGCUGAGAUAUACCCGUCGAACCUGAAUCGGUUAAGGCCGACGUAGGGAUUUGAGAGGCAACUUUGC